CCGAGUUUACAACUCCCACCCUUGAAUAACAUACAAUGUUGCUUUGGCGAGCGCUUCGGCGGCCGCCAGAGGACCCUAAACUCUUGUUUACAGUGUCGUCUGAGUACUAUACAAUAGUUA
rnacentral:misc_RNA from 1 species